rnacentral:rRNA from 1 species
GACGAACGCUGGCGGCGUGCCCAAUACAUGCAAGUAGGACGCAGUUGCGAACGGGUGAGUAACGCGUAGGUGACUACCUAUUAGAGGGGGAUAACUAUUGGAAACGAUAGCUAAUACCGCAUACUAGUAGAUGGACCUGCGUUGGAUUAGCUAGUAGGUAGGGUAAUGGCCUACCUAGGCAAAGAUACAUAGCCGACUUGGUGUGGUGAGCGGACAAAAUGGGACUGAGAACAGGCCCAGACCCCUACGGGAGGCAGCAGGAGGGAAUCUUCGGAAAUGGGGGGAACCCUGACCGAGCAACGCCGCGGGAGUGAAGAAGGUUGUCGGAUCGUAAAGCUCUGUUGUGAAGGAAGCGGUACUUAACCAGAAAGGGACGGCUAACUACGUGCCAGCAGCCGCGGUAAUUC